rnacentral:rRNA from 1 species
UACGUAGGGUGCGAGCGUUAAUCGGAAUUACUGGGCGUAAAGCGUGCGCAGGCGGUUUGCUAAGACCGAUGUGAAAUCCCCGGGCUUAACCUGGGAACUGCAUUGGUGACUGGCAAGCUAGAGUGUGGCAGAGGGGGGUAGAAUUCCACGUGUAGCAGUGAAAUGCGUAGAUAUGCGGAGGAACACCGAUGGCGAAGGCAAUCCCCUGGGCCUGCACUGACGCUCAUGCACGAAAGCGUGGGGAGCAAACAGG